CGGCCGCAGAACUGGGCCGGCCUCGAGGUCCCGCCUGGGUGGCCCCAGGGGAGGCCUCCCGCUGUGCAGCAGGGCGCCAUGAGGAAAAGAUUUUCAAAACUAAUUAGGCACCAACAGUCUUGAGAACGGAAUCAGGAGCUGAGGGAUCUCAUUUCAGUUAUUGUUUAAUUCAGCUUCUGUAAAUGGAAUGGACUGUGGCCAGCAAGCCUGGGGCAUAAACACACCUGUAUGAAAGAAGCCUUAUUGUAGCAACCAUCUACAACCAACCUGCACAUGCACUACCAGUUCGUGAGUUCAGAAGGAAUGUUCCAUUUUCCCUAACAGUAAAUUUUGCCUUAAGAUAACUCUUUUUUGUACCCGCUGUCCUGUCUUGACCACGAAGCUUGUACACUUUU